GUAAGUUCCGACCUGCACGAAUGGCGUAAUGAUGGCCAGGCUGUCUCCACCCGAGACUCAGUGAAAUUGAACUCGCUGUGAAGAUGCAGUGUACCCGCGGCAAGACGGAAAGACCCCGUGAACCUUUACUAUAGCUUGACACUGAACAUUGAGCCUUGAUGUGUAGGAUAGGUGGGAGGCUUUGAAGUGUGGACGCCAGUCUGCAUGGAGCCGACCUUGAAAUACCACCCUUUAAUGUUUGAUGUUCUAACGUGGGCCCCUUACCGGGGUUGCGGACAGUGUCUGGUGGGUAGUUUGACUGGGGCGGUCUCCUCCUAAAGAGUAACGGAGGAGCACGAAGGUUGGCUAAUCCUGGUCGGACAUCAGGAGGUUAGUGCAAUGGCAUAAGCCAGCUUGACUGCGAGCGUGACGGCGCGAGCAGGUGCGAAAGCAGGUCAUAGUGAUCCGGUGGUUCUGAAUGGAAGGGCCAUCGCUCAACGGAUAAAAGGUACUCCGGGGAUAACAGGCUGAUACCGCCCAAGAGUUCAUAUCGACGGCGGUGUUUGGCACCUCGAUGUCGGCUCAUCACAUCCUGGGGCUGAAGUAGGUCCCAAGGGUAUGGCUGUUCGCCAUUUAAAGUGGUACGCGAGCUGGGUUUAGAACGUCGUGAGACAGUUCGGUCCCUAUCUGCCGUGGGCGCUGGAGAACUGAGGGGGGCUGCUCCUAGUACGAGAGGACCGGAGUGGACGCAUCACUGGUGUUCGGGUUGUCAUGCCAAUGGCACUGCCCGGUAGCUAAAUGCGGAAGAGAUAAGUGCUGAAAGCAUCUAAGCACGAAACUUGCCCCGAGAUGAGUUCUCCCUGACUCCUUGAGAGUCCUGAAGGAACGUUGAAGACGACGACGUUGAUAGGCCGGGUGUGUAAGCGCAGCGAUGCGUUGAGCUAACCGGUACUAAUGAACCGUGAGGCUUAACCUUACAACGCCGAAG
rnacentral:rRNA from 1 species